rnacentral:rRNA from 1 species
UACGGGGGGGGUAAGCGUUGUUCGGAAUUACUGGGCGUAAAGGGCUCGUAGGCGGCCAACUAAGUCGGACGUGAAAUCCCUCAGCUUAACUGGGGAACUGUGUCUGAUACUGGAUGGCUUGGAUUUGGGAGAGGGAUGCGGAAUUCCAGGUGUAGCGGUGAAAUGCGUAGAUAUCUGGAGGAACACCGGUGGCGAAGGCGGCAUCCUGGACCAACAUUGACGCUGAGGAGCGAAAGCCAGGGGAGCAAACGGG